rnacentral:rRNA from 1 species
GAUGAACGCUGGCGGCGUGCCUAACACAUGCAAGUCGAACGGAGUCCAGCCUUAGAGACCUUCGGGUCAAAGAGGGGAAGACUGAGUGGCGGACGGGUGAGUAACACGUGGGCAACCUGGCUCAUAGAGGGGGAUAACAGAGAGAAAUUUCUGCUAAUACCGCAUAAGCACACACUGCCGCAUGGCAGAGUGUGAAAAGAGAAUCGCUAUGAGAUGGACCCGCGUCUGAUUAGCCAGUUGGCAGGGUAAGAGCCUACCAAAGCGACGAUCAGUAGCCGAUUUGAGAGGAUGAACGGCCACAUUGGGACUGAGACACGGCCCAAACUCCUACGGGAGGCAGCAGUGGGGGAUAUUGCACAAUGGGGGGAACCCUGAUGCAGCGACGCCGCGUGAGUGAAGAAGUAUUUCGGUAUGUAAAGCUCUAUCAGCAGGGAAGAUAAUGGCAGUACCUGAAUAAGAAGCCCCGGCUAACUACGUG